GCACAUUCAGAGGAGCUCACACUCAGAGGAGUGAACACUCAGAGGAGCUCACACUCAGAUGAGCACACACUCAAGGGAGCUCACACUCAGAGGAGCACACACUCAGACAAGCGUGCACUCAGGGGAGCACGCACUCAGAUGAGCACGCACUCAGAUGAGCGCACACUCAGGAGAUCACACUCAGAGGAGCACACAUUUAGAUGAGUGCACACUCACAGGAGCUCACACAGACGAGUGCACACACAGAGGAGCUCACACUCAGUGGAGCACACACUCAGAGGAGCUCACACAGACGAGCGCACACUCAGAGGAGCUCACACUCAGAGGAGCGCACACUGAGAGGAGCUCCCACUUAGAUGAGCACACACUCAGAGGAGAUCACACACAGAGGAGCGCACGCUCAGAUGAGCGCACACUCACAGGAGCUCACAUAGACGAGUGUACACUCAGAGGAGCUCACACUCAGUGGAGUGCACUCUCAGACGAGUGCACACUCAGAGGAGCUCACACAGAUGAGUGCACACUCAGAGGAUCUAACACUCAGAGGAGCACACACUCAGAGGAGCUCACACUCAGGGGAGCGUGCACUCAGGGGAGCAUGCACUCAGGGGAGCGCACACUCAGACGAGAGCAAAGAAGAGCUCACACAGACGAGUGCACACCCAGAGGAGCUCACACUCAGAGGAGCGCACACUCAGAGGAGCUCACACUCAGACGAACACACACUCAUAGAAACUCACACUCAGAUGAGCGCAACCUCAGAGGAGCACACACUCAGGGAAGCACCCACUCACGGGAUCACACACUCAGGGGAGCAAACACUCAGACGAGUGCACAGAGGAGCUCACACAGACGGGUGCACACUCAGAAGAGCUCACACUCAGAAGAGUGCACACUCAGAGGAGCUCACACUCAGGGGAGUGCACACUCAGGAGACCACACACUCAGACGAGUGUGCACUCAGGGGAGCAUGCACUCAGAUGAGCGCACACUCAGAGAUCACACUCAGAGGAGCGCACAGAUGAGCACACACUCAGAGGAGUGCGCACUCAGGGGAGCGAGCACUCAGAGGAGCGCACACUCAGAGGAGCACACACUCAGAGGAGAUCACACUCAGAGGCGCUCACACUCAGAGGAGCUAACACUCAGGGGAGUGUGCACUCAGAGCACACACUCAGACGAGAGCAUAGAAGAGCUCACACAGACGAGUGCACACUCAGAGAAGCUCACACUCAGAGGAGCUCACACUCAGAGGAGCUCACACUCAGACGAACACACACUCAUAGGAGCUCACACUCAGACGAGAGCACACUCAG
rnacentral:lncRNA from 1 species